rnacentral:rRNA from 1 species
CACGUAGGGGGCAAGCGUUGUCCGGAUUUAUUGGGCGUAAAGAGCUCGUAGGUGGUUCGGUAAGUCAGGUGUGAAACCUCCAGGCUCAACCUGGGGACGCCACUUGAUACUGCCUGUGACUGGAGUCCGGUAGGGGAGCGGUGGAAUUCCUGGUGUAGCGGUGAAAUGCGCAGAUAUCAGGAGGAACACCAGCGGCGAAAGCGACUUCCUGGACCAGUACCGACGUUCAGGCACGAAAGCGUGGGGAGCAAACAGG